rnacentral:lncRNA from 1 species
UGCUUUGGUAAGGCAUUGUCUUUUUAAAAGAAAGCAUGAAACACCUGACACUUAUCAACUGCCAAGUCAAAUGUUCUCUGGCUAUCUCCAGACAAAAAACAGUUUUAAGACUUGCACAUACCCUCACCUAACUGCUUUCCACUUCCCCUUCCCGGUAUAGCUACACAGAAAGAAAAGCUUUCUUGUCCUAAUACUUGUCCAAAGGAUCUGAUUUGAUGUGUCAAAUCAGCAUUAUAUAUAUAUGUGUGUGUGUGUGUGUGUGUAUGUGUAUAUAUAUAUAUUAUAUAUAUAUAUAUAGAGAGAGAGAGAGAGAGAGAAAAUUUCUAUAUUGUCAUGGGGGCUUAUGUGUUUCCAACUUAUUCUGUUCUCUAUUAAAAAUAAAUCUGAUCUUGGGAGUAUAAUUUGAAUAAAGGGGUUUAAUGAAAUUCUGAAGAGUAUACAAAUUGUUGGCACAGCUGUGAAAGUAACUUCCCAAAUGAAACCUGUAAUUAUGUUUGGCUGUUUUACUUGAAAUCUGUUGUCCUGGUGAUUAUGCUGAAACAGACAUUUCAGUAUUCCUUAGCUGUAUCAAUAUUUGAAGGAUUUCUCUGUCACAGUCUAAGGCAGACAUUGGCAUGUACCUUUGCCUAUGUAUGUGAUGGGGGGAACAGUAAAAGGUCACGCCG